AAUGGACGCAAGUCUGAUGGAGCAACGCCGCGUGAGUGAAGAAGGUUUUCGGAUCGUAAAGCUCUGUUGUUGGUGAAGAAGGAUAGAGGUAGUAACUGGCCUUUAUUUGACGGUAAUCAACCAGAAAGUCACGGCUAACUACGUGCCAGCAGCCGCGGUAAUACGUAGGUGGCAAGCGUUGUCCGGAUUUAUUGGGCGUAAAGCGAGCGCAGGCGGAAAAAUAAGUCUAAUGUGAAAGCCCUCGGCUUAACCGAGGAAUUGCAUCGGAAACUGUUUUUCUUGAGUGCAGAAGAGGAGAGUGGAACUCCAUGUGUAGCGGUGGAAUGCGUAGAUAUAUGGAAGAACACCAGUGGCGAAGGCGGCUCUCUGGUCUGCAACUGACGCUGAGGCUCGAAAGCAUGGGUAGCGAACAGGAUUAGAUACCCUGGUAGUCCAUGCCGUAAACGAUGAGUGCUAAGUGUUGGGAGGUUUCCGCCUCUCAGUGCUGCAGCUAACGCAUUAAGCACUCCGCCUGGGGAGUACGACCGCAAGGUUGAAACUCAAAGGAAUUGACGGGGGCCUGCACAAGCGGUGGAGCAUGUGGUUUAAUUCGAAGCAACGCGAAGAACCUUACCAGGUCUUGACAUCUAGCGC
rnacentral:rRNA from 1 species